rnacentral:rRNA from 1 species
UACGGAGGGGGCAAGCGUUAUUCGGAUUUACUGGGCGUAAAGGGUGCGUAGGCUGUCGCGCAAGUCUGAUGUGAAAUCUUCACCACUCAACGGGAAGAGGUCAUUGGAAACUGCGCGACUUGAGUUUGGUAGAGGCUAGCGGAAUUCCUGGUGUAGCGGUGGAAUGUGUAGAUAUCAGGAAGAACACCUGUGGCGAAGGCGGCUAGCUGGGCCAAUACUGACGCUGAGGCACGAAAGCGUGGGGAGCAAACGGG